UUAAAUAAAUCUAUCAUAAUAUUAAUUUUUAUAUAAAAAUAAUUUAUAAAUAAUCUUCACAAACUAACACUUAUACUACCGUAAGGGAAACAUAUAAUAAAAUAAAGUAGUUAUAAAUAAACAUACCUUGUGCAUAAUGGUUUUACAAGAACAAAUUUCAUAAUUUACUCCCGAAUUCUUAAUGAGCUGACUUUUUAAUGCUAAGACCUAACUACUAGUUGUGUCAAAAACUUUAGAAUAUAAAAAAUCAGAGGCUACAUACCAACCGCAUAAGAAAAUCUCUGGUUUCCAUAUAAAUUUAUAUAUUAAAUCAAUUAUAUAAAACAAUAUAUAAUAUGUUAAAUAAUAGAGGAUAAGCCCUAUUAUAUAUUCAAUAAACAAUUAUUAAAAUUAAUAAAGUAGGCCUAAAAUCAGCCAUCUUAUAAUACGUCACAGUACCAAGAACACUAUAAUUAAUAAACUAAAAUGACACAUAUAAAUGGAUAUGCAUAUAAACCUAAUAUGUAAUAACUCUGUAAAAACAAGUAUUAUUUUUAUUAUAUAUAAAACAACUAAACAUAAAAUAAAUAUAUAAAUAACUAUUAACUUUUAUUAAGAAACUCGGCAAAUACCUAUUUCGACUGUUUACCAAAAACAUUGCUUCCUGAAAAUAAUAUGAAGUAAUCUCCUGCCCAGUGAAUAUAUUUUAACGGCCGCGGUAUCCUAACCGUGCAAAGGUAACAUAAUAAUUUGCCCAUUAAUUGUGGGCUAGCAUGAACGGGGUAACGAAAUAAGCACUGUCUCAAUAAAACCAACAAAAACUAAUAUCCAAGUGAAGAAGCUUAGAUAUAAUUAAAGGACAAGAAGACCCUAUAGAGCUUUAUCUUUUUAUGUAUAAACAAACUAAAGAUUGGGUUGGGGCGACCAUGGAUAAAUCAUCCAUAAUAUUUAAGACAAACUAGUCAAUUAAUAGAUCCUUUUAAGAUCACAGAAUCAAGCUACCUUAGGGAUAACAGGCUAAUCCUAUUAAAGAGCUCUUAUCGACAAUAGGGAUUGGCACCUCGAUGUUGGCUUAGAAUAUCUUUAAGGCGCAGAAGUCAUAAAAAGAGGGUUUGUUCAACCCAUAAUAUUCUACAUGAGCUGAGUUCAGACCGGCGUAAGCCAGGUUAGUUUCUAUCCUUAAUAUCCAGUAAAAUUUACAGUACGAAAGGACCUAAAUUUUAUAUAAUAUAUAAAAAAUAAAUAAAUACAAUAAAAUAUAAAACAAAUUCUCUAUACACUAUA
rnacentral:rRNA from 1 species